GGUUCCCGCCCUGCUGGGCCGCGCGACUCUUGCGCGCCAUCCCCGGGGCGCUCGGGAGAACCUGCUAAUGCCUCCCCUGCGAAAGAUUUGUGUGUUCUUUCAUCAGAGUGGAGUUCCUCUUUCCAAUCUGUCUCUCCCCACCCCAGCUGGCAGGCCUUGUCCUCUGCAGAAUCCUGUUGCCCUGGAUUUCUUAGACGUUUUAAGCCGUUUCUCCAACUUGGAACCUAUAUGUCCUCUCUGAGCUAAAAGAGUACACAGAUGCAUCAGCCUCAGAGCCAGCCUCAUCUUUGGAACAAGAAAGAUUUUCUACAUAUUGGCUAAGAAUAGGAUCGCAGGGCAAGUUAAAGCUCCAGAGGUCCUGGUCGAGGAUUUGUGAAAAGUAGGAGGGCACCUCAGAAACAUGCAUACCAGUCCAGGCUAGCAAAAUGCAGCAAGAUCCUCACUAGUGAUGCUGGGCAGGGCAGCAAGUGGCAGCUCCCAGCAGCCGCGUGAUCACAAGGGGAGAUAGCCAAUACACUUACAACCAUUCUAUACCUGGACAACCAUUCUGUUUUUCAUUUUCAGUAUUCAAUAAGUUAUGAGAGAUACUCAAUACUUUAUUAUAAAAUAGGCUUUGUGUUAGGUAAUUUUGCCAAACCACAAUCUAAUGUAAAUUCUGAGCUUGUUUAAGGGCAGCAAGGCUAAGCUAUGAUGGUAGGUUUACAAAAUGCAUUUUUGACCUAAUGAUAUUUUCAACUUACAAUGGGUUUAUUGGAAUAUAACCCCUUUAUAAGUUGAGGAAGAUCUAUACAAUAGUGCUCAGAUUUAAGAUCGCUGUUAUUGUGAUGAUAUCAGUCAAAAUUGUAAGAUUGUCUUUUAAUUUUUAGACCAGUGUUUCCUUGUGGGUUUGCAGGUAGAAUGGGAAACUGAACACCUCCAUUGAUAGUUUUUUUUUUUCUUUUCCCUUUAUUUAUUUUUUAUUUUAUUUUCCCUUUAGUCUGUUAGUUCUAGGGCUCUUUUAAAUAGAGCUCUUCCAGGGUUUUGGAGAUCUGGCCAUGGGCCUAUUUCCCACCCUACUUUUUGCUUGCAUAUUAAACCCCCUAUUUCUCCUUUGAGGCAAUUUACAAAAAGAUGAGAGGGAGAGCCAGGGUCGCAUCUGCUUCAAGAUCUACUACUGAACCCUGAUGCUACAUUUUAAAGAACCUAUCCCUAAAGUCUCCAUCAGACUUCUCUUUUUUUUGGCUUGAAGAACUGAAUCAGAGCACACACUAUUUUCACAGAAAAGACAGAGGAUAGCUUCCAAAAGACCUUGACCCACAUCUGCGGUGUUUCUAAGUCCCUUUGGUUUCCUGUUCAAGUCAAGGUCUUUUCAGUCAUCAUUGGAAGUUCUGACCUUUUCACUGAACUUUUUGCAACAUAUGAACUAAUUGGUAUAUAUCUGGUCACCCUGGAUUAUAUGUCCCUCAAACUAAUCUGAAUUUCUCUUCACUGUUCUCUUUAUCUUGUCUAGGCCUUGGAAAGUCUUUGACAAUGGCUUUCAGCUGAGAAUGGAACCAGAGCUUAAAAUUCACUAUUAGCAGUUUUCUCUGUCGGAAAAGGCAAUGGCAACCCACUCUAGUGCUCUUGCCUGGAAAAUCCCAUGGA